rnacentral:lncRNA from 1 species
GAUGCCUGGUGCUGGUGGAACCCCUGCACAGAGACGGACACAGGAUGAGCUCUAAGUACCCGCGGUCUGUCCGGCGCUGCCUGCCCCUCUGGGCCCUAACACUGGAAGCAGCUCUCAUUCUCCUCUUCUAUUUUUUUACCCACUAUGACGCUUCCUUAGAGGAUCAAAAGGGGCUCGUGGCAUCCUAUCAAGCUCAGGAAGCUGGGACACAGAGGAAGAGCCAGGCUCUGAACACUGACAACCUGAUUGAGAGACCCACACUGUUCAUCACCGUUACGCUAUAUAUGCUGUAUAGAAAGGCAGGAUGGCAUAAUGGUUAAACCUAGGUAGGUAGGGUUUGAAUCCUCCUGCUACCAUUUACUAGCUCUGUGACUUGGACUAGUUAUAG